CUUCGGAUUGUAAAGCACUUUAAGUUGGGAGGAAGGGCCAUUACCUAAUACGUGAUGGUUUUGACGUUACCGACAGAAUAAGCACCGGCUAACUCUGUGCCAGCAGCCGCGGUAA
rnacentral:rRNA from 1 species